GACGUAGGAUGCGAGCGUUGUCCGGAUUUAUUGGGCGUAAAGAGUUCGUAGGUGGUUCAUUAAGUUUGGUGUUAAAGACCGGGGCUCAACCUCGGGACCGCACUGGAUACUGGUGGACUAGAGUGCAGUAGAGGCAAGCGGAAUUCCAGGUGUAGCGGUGAAAUGCGUAGAUAUCUGGAAGAACACCGGGUGGCGCAAGCGG
rnacentral:rRNA from 1 species